UUGUCGUCAGCUCGUGUCGUGAGAUGUUGGGUUAAGUCCGCAACGAGCGCAACCCCUAUUGCUAGUUGCCAUCAUUCAGUUGGGCACUCUAGCGAGACUGCCGGUAAUAAACCGGAGGGAGGUGGGGAUGACGUCAAAUCAUCAUGCCCCUUAUGACCUGGGCUACACACGUGCUACAAUGGUUGGUACAACGAGUUGCGAGUCGGUGACGGCGAGCUAAUCUCUUAAAGCCAAUCUCAGUUCGGAUUGUAGGCUGCAACUCGCCUACAUGAAGUCGGAAUCGCUAGUAAUCGCGGAUCAGCACGCCGCGGUGAAUACGUUCCCGGGCCUU
rnacentral:rRNA from 1 species